GGAGGAGUCGCAUAGCGGCUAUUGCACCAGUUUUGAAAACUGGAACCCCUCACGGGGUUCGUGGGUUCGAGUCCCACCUCCUCCGCCA
rnacentral:tRNA from 2 species